GCUGUACCCCGCGGCGUGGAUCACCAUGGCGAUCGCGGCACAACCCAUUGCCAGCUGGCAAAGGCGGGCAGCGCCCAGAGAGAAAUCUCCCAGCGGGCAUUGUCGUCGUGACGGGUCGUGCCCAGUUUUCUCUGCUGACUUCUCCACGCUUCUUGAGGCCUUGUGACCAGUGCGUGGAGAAUGAAAAAUGUCUGCAAUUGGCUGAGAGAUCACACGUCCUUGUACAGUAGUCAGGCCCUCGCCGGCCCCUUGUAGUAAAAAGUUCUUCCAGGUGAUGACAGCCCUGUUGAUUAUUUCAAUCCAAAAUAAAAUCCUCAAGAGCAAAAUGUGACUGUAUUGUACUGCUCUCAAAUGCUAACACCCAUCUUCUUCGUCGUCCUCACACACUUGCUGCCUUCCAACAGCGGGUGCAGUGUGGACGGUAUGCUGGGGCUCAGUCAGUCCAGAAUGGAAGUUAUUUCGGGUUGGGACGGGUCACGGCUUAAUGAGUGUGAGGGGCGUGUACGUAGCGCUGCCGGCCAUGGAGACACAUUGGGGAGCCUAUCAAAUGUCACAUGAACGAACCCUGUAAGAAUAUCACAAAUUAAACAAUUGAUCACUGAUUAAUUUCUCACUGAUAGUUUACAAGUAAGCACAUGUUUGAUUCUGUACUUUCAUUCCUUUGUGAAUGUUUUUUUUUAAAGCCCAUUUAUCUUUUGUCACGCAUGAGCUCUGUCAUACAAAUGUGAAACUCAAGACUCCAGACCCAGAUCCAGCUCGUCAUAUAAUUUAAUCUGGCCCACUAAAAACAAAGACUGCGUCUCCUUCAUGUUUCUUUCCAAAUCGUUCACAUUUUGCCCCAAAAAAAAAAAA